rnacentral:snoRNA from 1 species
CUGGAAUGAUGAUGCUUAGCCAAAUCAGAUAUGUGCUCCAAGAGGCAUUUUGCUGUGGAACUCUGUUCAGCAGAUAGGGUGUCUCUUGUUGUAGCGCGUCUUAGACGAUAUCACAGGGAAUGGUUUUUGCUGACCAGA